rnacentral:rRNA from 1 species
UGCCGCCCUGAAGGGCGUAUGGUGGAUGCCUUGGCAGACAGUACCGAUGAAGGACGUUUGAGGAUGCGAUAAGCCUCGGGGAGCCUCCAACAUGGCUUCGAUCCGAGGAUUUCCGAAUGGGGCAACCCGCCGGCCGUCAUGGGCCGGCACGGAACCUUGUUGUUCCGGGGGUACGCAGGGAAGUGAAACAUCUCAGUACCUGCAGGAAGGGAUACUCCGUGAGUAGUGGCGAGCGAAAGCGGAUCAGACCAAACCAUGGGCGCGUGAUACCCGUCGGGGGUUGCGUUCGUGGUGUUGCGGGAGCGUGUGUCCCGGUUCCGACGGACCGGGCGGGAGUCAUAAAACGGCUUGCCAGGGGAACAGGCUUGAAGGCCUGGCCGCAGAGGGUGCCAGCCCCGUACCUGGAAGCUUGCCGUCUUCCGAUCAUGUGUCCCAAGUAGCGCGGGCCUCGUGGAAUCCCGUGUGAAUCGGCCCCGACCGUGGGGUAAGUCUAAGCAUACCUGUCUGACCGAUAGCGUACCAGUACCGUGAGGGAAAGGUGAAAAGCACCCCGGGAGGGGAGUGAAAGAGUUCCUGAAACCGUGCGCCUACAAUCCGUCGGAGCCUCCCUGGUGGGGUGACGGCGUGCCUAUCGAAAAAUGAGUCUGCGAGUCAGUGGUGCGUGGCGAGGCUAACCCGUGGUGGGGGAGCCGUAGCGAAGGCGAGUCUCAAAAGGCGUUUUGAGUCGCGCGCCCUGGACCCGAAGCGGGAUGAUCUAGCCCUGGGCAGGUUGAAGCGCGGGUAAGACCGCGUGGAGGACCGAACCCACCUGGGUUGAAAACCGGGGGGAUGACCUGGGGCUAGGGGUGAAAGGCCAAUCAAAUUCCGUGAUAGCUGGUUCUCUCCGAAAUGCAUUUAGGUGCAGCGUCGGUUGAUUGCAUCGCGGGGGUAGAGCUACUGGAUGCUUGCGGGCCCGUAUGGGGUACCAAUAGCAGCCAAACUCCGAAUACCGUGGAUGUGUAUUCCGGCAGUGAGUCGGCGGGGGAUAAGCUCCGUCGUCGAGAGGGAGACAGCCCAGAUCGUCGUCUAAGGUCCCGAAGCGUGUGCUAAGUGGGAAAGGAUGUGGAGUCGCAUAGACAGCCAGGAGGUUGGCUCAGAAGCAGCCAUCCUUGAAAGAGUGCGUAACAGCUCACUGGUCUAGUGGUUCCGCGCCGACAAUGUAGCGGGGCUCAAGCACACCACCGAAGACGCGGCAGCGGCCUUUGUGGCCGUUGGGUAGGAGAGCGUCCCGCGUGGGGCGAAGCGGCCGGGGAACCGUGCCGUGGACCGCGCGGGAGUGAGAAUGCAGACAUGAGUAGCGAGAGACGGGUGAGGAUCCCGUCCGCUGGAUGACCAAGGGUUCCGGGGCCACGUUCGUCGUCCCCGGGUGAGUCGGGUCCUAAGGCGAGGCCGACAGGCGUAGUCGAAUGGAUGAACGGGUGGAUAUUCCCGUACCGGCGGCGUACCGUAAGAGCCGAACGGAUGAGUACUAACCUCCGGUCGCGUGGCGUCGUUCCCUUCGGGGUUCGGGGUCCGCGGUCGUUGGGAGCGUAGUCCUGGUAGGCUAGCGCACAGGGGUGACACGGAAUGGGAGCCGGCCGCGGAGGUGGUUUUCCGUGGUCAAGCACGCAGCCCGUCCCAUAGGCAAAUCCGUGGGACGCAUAGGGUGAGGUGUGAUGAUGGGCGUCCUUUGGACGCGAUAUCCGGUGGUCCAGGCCGUCGAGAAAAGCCUCGGCGCGAGGGGCGUCGCCGCCCGUACCCCAAACCGACACUGGUGGUCAGGUAGAGAAUACCAAGGCGAUCGAGCGAAUCCUGGUCAAGGAACUCGGCAAAUCACUCCCGUGCCUUCGGUAUAAGGGAGACCCCCGGGCGUGAAGAGGCUUGCCCUCGGAGCGUUGGGGGGUGGCACAGACCAGGGGGUAGCGACUGUUUACCAAAAACACAGGUGCAUGCGAAGGCGCAAGCCGCUGUAUAUGCACUGACGCCUGCCCGGUGCCGGAAGGUUAAGAGGAUCCGUCAGCCCCUUUUGGGGUGAAGCGGUGAAUUCAAGCCCCGGUAAACGGCGGUGGUAACUAUAACCAUCCUAAGGUAGCGAAAUUCCUUGUCGGGUAAGUUCCGACCUGCACGAAUGGCGUAACGACUUCCCCACUGUCUCGACCAGGAGCUCGGCGAAAUUGCAGUACGAGUAAAGAUGCUCGUUAAGCGCAGAAGGACGAAAAGACCCCGGGACCUUUACUAUACCUUGGUAUUGGCGUUAGGCGCGGAUUGUGUAGCAUAGGCGGGAGGCUUCGAAGCAUGGGCGCCAGCCCGUGUGGAGCCGCAAGG